GUUAGGGUAGUUAAAUUAUAAUAAAGCUCUGAAGAGGCUUAGUUAAAGUGUUUAAAUCCUUUCUCUGACA
rnacentral:tRNA from 1 species